UCCAGACUCCUACGGGAGGCAGCAGUGGGGAAUAUUGCACAAUGGGCGCAAGCCUGAUGCAGCCAUGCCGCGUGUAUGAAGAAGGCCUUCGGGUUGUAAAGUACUUUCAGCGGGGAGGAAGGCGGUGGAGUUAAUAACUUCACCGAUUGACGUUACCCGCAGAAGAAGCACCGGCUAACUCCGUGCCAGCAGCCGCGGUAAUACGGAGGGUGCAAGCGUUAAUCGGAAUUACUGGGCGUAAAGCGCACGCAGGCG
rnacentral:rRNA from 1 species